UACGUAGGGUGCGAGCGUUGUCCGGAAUUAUUGGGCGUAAAGAGCUCGUAGGCGGUUUGUCACGUCUGCUGUGAAAUCCCGAGGCUCAACCUCGGGCCUGCAGUGGGUACGGGCAGACUAGAGUGCGGUAGGGGAGAUUGGAAUUCCUGGUGUAGCGGUGGAAUGCGCAGAUAUCAGGAGGAACACCGAUGGCGAAGGCAGUUCUCUGGGCCGUAACUGACGCUGAGGAGCGAAAGCGUGGGGAGCGAACGGG
rnacentral:rRNA from 1 species